rnacentral:rRNA from 1 species
GUGCCAGCAGCCGCGGUAAUACGUAAGUGGCAAGCGUUAUCCGGAAUUAUUGGGCGUAAAGCGCGCGUAGGCGGUUUUUAAGUCUGAUGUGAAAGCCCACGGCUCAACCGUGGAGGGUCAUUGGAAACUGGAAAACUUGAGUGCAGAGGAGGAAAGUGGAAUUCCAUGUGUAGCGGUGAAAUGCGCAGAGAUAUGGAGGAACACCAGUGGCGAAGGCGACUUUCUGGUCUGUAACUGACGCUGAUGUGCGAAAGCGUGGGGAUCAAACAGG